CGUGAUAUUGGCACGGCU
rnacentral:snRNA from 1 species